GCCUACGGGGGGCAGCAGUGAGGAAUAUUGGUCAAUGGUCGGGAAACUGAACCAGCCAAGCCGCGUGAGGGAUGAAGGUACAGAGUAUCGUAAACCUCUUUUGUCAGGGAACAAAGGCGGGGACGUGUCCCCGGACGAGUGUACCUGAAGAAAAAGCAUCGGCUAACUCCGUGCCAGCAGCCGCGGUAAUACGGAGGAUGCGAGCGUUAUCCGGAUUUAUUGGGUUUAAAGGGUGCGCAGGCGGUCUGUUAAGUCAGCGGUCAAAGCCCGGGGCUCAACCCCGGCCCGCCGUUGAAACUGGCAGG
rnacentral:rRNA from 1 species